GGAUAUGUAAGCAUAAUAUGGUGCUUCACCUAAGCUAUGUAAGUUGAGGAUUUCUUGAAGAACAGUGCAACAUGUCAAGGAGUGAACAAAAAGCAGUGAUCAACUGAGCAAACAUAACAACUUGAAUGAAAGUUAUCAGGUGAGAACAACCACCAGUAAUCAACAACCAGAAUGUUUUCAGGAGUAAGAACCAUUAUCAGUUUAAAUAACUGAAUUCCAUCGUAGUAUGUACAUGUAUCUUAUCUGACUAGAUCAAUUUGCUAUGCUCUGGGUGUGCUUAUGAAUCCAGAUGAUUUUUUCAGGAGUUCAUGUGCUUCUACAGGCUUGUCUCUGGAAUUUCUAUAAUUCUUUUCUUGUUUCGAAGUGGUAGAUCGAUGUAUGUGUGCAGG
rnacentral:lncRNA from 1 species